rnacentral:lncRNA from 1 species
AAAUAGUAUAUUAGCUUGUAGGAUAGUUUAGUCCGUUAAAUCUAUUACUCACUUCAAUUUGUUUCCUGUUAAAUUUGUUACUCACUUCAAUCUCUUUCGAAUUUGUGACUUUCUAUCUAGAUUUGCUUAUAAUUUGUUAAGUGUAGCCCCAUUAGGAACAAAAAGCCAAAAUGCUUUGCCCAUCCAUGCAACUAGCUGCCAUCUAUUCUUCCCAAACUGCAAAACGGCAUCGUUUCAAGCGGAUCAUGCUAACUCCGAUGUGUUAGGGUUUACAUAGACGAGAGAGGGAAGGUCACUUUCUGGACUGAGAGAUCACAGAGCUCAGCAGGGGCAAUUCAGGACAGAGGGAGGAAGCUCACAANNNN